rnacentral:tRNA from 1 species
GAGGGUGUAGCUCAGUGGUAGAGUACAUGCAUAGCAUGCAUGAGGUCCUGGGUUCAAUUCCCAGUACCUCUG